rnacentral:rRNA from 1 species
UACGUAGGUGGCAAGCGUUGUCCGGAUUUACUGGGCGUAAAGGGCGUGCAGGCGGUUUGUUAAGUGCAGGGUGAAAGCUCCCGGCUCAACUGGGAGAGGUCCUUGCAUACUGGCAGACUUGAGGGAGGCAGAGGAAAGUGGAAUUCCCGGUGUAGUGGUGAUAUGCGUAGAUAUCGGGAGGAACACCUGUGGCGAAGGCGGCUUUCUGGGCCUUCACCUGACGCUGAGGCGCGAAAGCGUGGGGAGCAAACAGG